UAUUAUUUUCGCGCUGUUACACGCUUAUCAACAUUCUACAAGACUUUAUAAAGGUGUAUAUAAAAGCGUUCAUAGCGAGGGCAUUCGAGGUGACUACAAAAGCAGCACACUCCGUGAUCAUCCCAAGCUACAGGUUGUGCACAGGUGUAAGAAAGGGAGGAUGAACGAUCCAGGCGUGCACAUACCUCUAGAGGAGGCCAGCAACAACCCUUCACGAGGUUCAUGUUUCAUUAAUGAUCCUUCCGCAGGUUCACCUACGGAAA
rnacentral:misc_RNA from 1 species